GAUGAACGCUGGCGGCGUGCCUAAUACAUGCAAGUCGAGCGAACGGACGAGAAGCUUGCUUUUCUGAUGUUAGCGGCGGACGGGUGAGUAACACGUGGAUAACCUACCUAUAAGACUGGGAUAACUUCGGGAAACCGGAGCUAAUACCGGAUAAUAUUUUGAACCGCAUGGUUCAAAAGUGAAAGACGGUCUUGCUGUCACUUAUAGAUGGAUCCGCGCUGCAUUAGCUAGUUGGUAAGGUAACGGCUUACCAAGGCAACGAUGCAUAGCCGACCUGAGAGGGUGAUCGGCCACACUGGAACUGAGACACGGUCCAGACUCCUACGGGAGGCGGCAGUAGGGAAUCUUCCGCAAUGGGCGAAAGCCUGACGGAGCAACGCCGCGUGAGUGAUGAAGGUCUUCGGAUCGUAAAACUCUGUUAUUAGGGAAGAACAUAUGUGUAAGUAACUGUGCACAUCUUGACGGUACCUAAUCAGAAAGCCACGGCUAACUACGUGCCAGCAGCCGCGGUAAUACGUAGGUGGCAAGCGUUAUCCGGAAUUAUUGGGCGUAAAGCGCGCGUAGGCGGUUUUUUAAGUCUGAUGUGAAAGCCCACGGCUCAACCGUGGAGGGUCAUUGGAAACUGGAAAACUUGAGUGCAGAAGAGGAAAGUGGAAUUCCAUGUGUAGCGGUGAAAUGCGCAGAGAUGUGGAGGAACACCAGUGGCGAAGGCGACUUUCUGGUCUGUAACUGACGCUGAUGUGCGAAAGCGUGGGGAUCAAACAGGAUUAGAUACCCUGGUAGUCCACGCCGUAAACGAUGAGUGCUAAGUGUUAGGGGGUUUCCGCCCCUUAGUGCUGCAGCUAACGCAUUAAGCACUCCGCCUGGGGAGUACGACCGCAAGGUUGAAACUCAAAGGAAUUGACGGGGGCCCGCACAAGCGGUGGAGCAUGUGGUUUAAUUCGAAGCAACGCGAAGAACCUUACCAAAUCUUGACAUCCUUUGACAACUCUAGAGAUAGAGCCUUCCCCUUCGGGGGACAAAGUGACAGGUGGUGCAUGGUUGUCGUCAGCUCGUGUCGUGAGAUGUUGGGUUAAGUCCCGCAACGAGCGCAACCCUUAAGCUUAGUUGCCAUCAUUAAGUUGGGCACUCUAAGUUGACUGCCGGUGACAAACCGGAGGAAGGUGGGGAUGACGUCAAAUCAUCAUGCCCCUUAUGAUUUGGGCUACACACGUGCUACAAUGGACAAUACAAAGGGCAGCGAAACCGCGAGGUCAAGCAAAUCCCAUAAAGUUGUUCUCAGUUCGGAUUGUAGUCUGCAACUCGACUACAUGAAGCUGGAAUCGCUAGUAAUCGUAGAUCAGCAUGCUACGGUGAAUACGUUCCCGGGUCU
rnacentral:rRNA from 1 species